rfam:Brochothrix thermosphacta DSM 20171 = FSL F6-1036 c_rep_c67, whole genome shotgun sequence.
UACCAGUUGUUCCGCCAGGAGCAUCGCUGGGUAGCUAUGUGUGGAAGGGAUAAACGCUGAAAGCAUCUAAGCGUGAAGCCCCCCUCGAGAUGAGAUUUCCCAUCACUUUAUGUGAGUAAGACCCCUGAGAGACGAUCAGGUUGAUAGGUUCGGAGUGGAAGUACAGCAAUGUAUGGAGCAGACGAAUACUAAUAGGUCGAGGACUUAACCUU